rnacentral:rRNA from 1 species
UGGGGAAUAUUGCACAAUGGGCGAAAGCCUGAUGCAGCGACGCCGCGUGAGGGAUGACGGCCUUCGGGUUGUAAACCUCUUUCAGCAGGGACGAAGCGCAAGUGACGGUACCUGCAGAAGAAGCACCGGCUAACUACGUGCCAGCAGCCGCGGUAAUACGUAGGGUGCAAGCGUUGUCCGGAAUUACUGGGCGUAAAGAGUUCGUAGGCGGUUUGUCGCGUCGUUGGUGAAAACCAGCAGCUCAACUGCUGGCUUGCAGGCGAUACGGGCAGGCUUGAGUACUGCAGGGGAGACUGGAAUUCCUGGUGUAGCGGUGAAAUGCGCAGAUAUCAGGAGGGACGCCGGUGGCGAAGGCGGGUCUCUGGGCAGUAACUGACGCUGAGGAACGAAAGCGUGGGUAGCGAGCAGG